UACGUAGGUGGCAAGCGUUUGUCCGGAUUUACUGGGCGUAAAGAGCGCGCAGGCGGUCGAUCAAGUCGCGUGUGAAAGCCCCCGGCUCAACUGGGGAGGGUCACGCGAUACUGAUCGACUCGAAGGCAGGAGAGGGUAGUGGAAUUCCCGGUGUAGUGGUGAAAUGCGUAGAUAUCAGGAGGAACACCGAUGGCGAAGGCAGGUCUCUGGGCCACUACUGACGCUGAGAAGCGAAAGCAUGGGGAGCGAACAGG
rnacentral:rRNA from 1 species